GUGCUCGCUUUGGUAGCACAUAUACUAAAAUUGGAACGAUACAGAGAAGAUUGGCAUGGCCCCUGCGCAAGGAUGACACAGAAUGAAGGGAUGCUACCCACAUGACC
rnacentral:snRNA from 1 species